GUGACCCAGAACCAAUACAAAAACAAACCAUCCAUCAUGUCUUAUCUUGCACUUGCUUUUGUUGUCCUGGUUGCCCUUGCAACAGUUAAUGGUGAUCCAGAAAAUGUUAAAGCAGCAGCUGAGGAUAGGAGAGACUGUUGGAGGAUCAAUGGUGAAUGCCGCAUCAUUUGCAAGCAUCGUGAGAAAAAUGCUGGAAGAAAUGGCUGCUACUUCUUCCAAAGGUGCUGUGUAAUUUGAACAGUUUAAAGGGUGAGAUCUGCUUAAGAAAAUGUUCUUCACCGAAUACAUAACUUCAUUCAUAGAACAGAGGAUCUACCAAACAGAAAUAACUCUGCUCUGCUUCCUUAACAGCUGCUUCCCCAUUAAGUUUUCUUACUUCUUGUUUUCUUUAUAACUGAGACUCACUGGUGAAGGAAAGAUUGAGCUGUAAACUCACCAAGUUAUUCUGCUACCUUGAUAAGUCAUUGUUUCUACUCAUAUGUGUUUCUUCAAUAAAGUUUGUUUUCUGCAA